GGCCCAACAGCGUUUGGAGGGAACUGAGUCUCUACAAGCAGCAGCUGAAAGACUAAUAUACUAAGCCAUGAGAGUGAAGCUGUAACUGCAAUACAGGCCCCAGUACAUCCAAGAUGCUUGGAAUAUGGAAAAUCUGCUGAACAAAGUCAUAAGCAAAAAGCAGAUCUAUCCCACAAGAAAAAUCUUAUAAGCUACAACCAGCAAAGGCACAGGAAAGGAGCUGGUGAUGAUCAGUUUUAAAACAGAGCUAAAAGCAAUGGAGCUAUAUGAACAUCAAAUGGAGCCUAUGAAACUGUAAGCGAAGACUGAAUUUUUGUUGAUUUUGACACACAUGUGACAUUGAUAAUAACUGGCCAACACAAGCACCUUCUGUGUAAUUCUGGCAGUAGGAGUGGUGACACUGGAGAUGUGUAAAAUAGCCUGCAUUUCUCUAAAGAUGACAACAGCCUGUGACUUGUCAUCUCUACCAUUCCCAUUUUAUAGAUGUGACUACCAACUUCUGGAGUUUAAACAUGGAUGUAGAAAUGAAAACAGAUCCAUAAGUCUCAAAUAUCCCAAGGUUUUAUAAGCACAGGAAGAUCUUCACUGAGAACUGCUGUAAAACAAAUUUCAAAAGUCAAAGAUAAAAAGAAACUUAAAAACAAAGAAGUAACAUGUCAAAAACACCUCAUUCCAGACAAAGGAAUAUUGGUAAAAUAAUCAGAUAUCAGAAAACUUGCAAGCCAACUCUGAAUACUGUAUCUAACAAGUUUGCCUUUGGGCAAUGAAGGAGAGAUAAAAGAAUGUCCGGGAGAAACAUAUGCUAAGGAUUUAAUCAUUUCAGUACCUCCACUAAAAGAAAGAAAUGUUAAAUCUGAGAUCUUCAAGUUAAUACAGAAUGGUUCUAAGUACUAAUACAAAAUACAAGAAAGGUUUUUCAGGAGGCAGAGUAAGAUAGAAGCUGAGUAAGAUCCUAAGGCAAUUAUCUCCUCACAGUCACACCUACUGAAAUUGCUAUUUAUAUAUGAAGCUCUCUUCACAAGAGUUAAGAAUGCCAGGAAUAAGAGAACAUAGCUCACAGUUGUAGUUUAAUAAAAGGAAAGGCACAUAUAGAAGGA